rnacentral:rRNA from 1 species
AGUGAACGCUGGCGGUAGGCCUAACACAUGCAAGUCGAACGAGUGGCGGACGGGUGAGGAAUACAUCGGAAUCUACUCUGUCGGGGGGGAUAACGUAGGGACACUUACGCUAAUACCGCAUACGAUUGAAUGAGCCGAUGUCGGAUUAGCUAGUUGGCGGGGUAAGGGCCAACCAAGGCGACGAUCCGUAGCUGGGCUGAGAGGAGGAUCAGCCACACUGGAAUGGAGACCCGGUCCAGACUCCGACGGGAUGAACAAGUGGGGAAUAUUGGACAAGGGGCGAAAGCCUGAUCCAGCCAUACCGCGUGGGUGAAGAAGGCCUUCGGGUUGUAAAGCCCUUUUGUUGGGAAAGCGGUACCCAAAGAAUAAGCACCGGCUAACUUCGUGCCAGCCGCCGCGGUAAUAC